GUCAGAUCAGCAGUGGCAUUACAUUCUCAUAGAAGCACAAACUCCACUGUGAACUGCACAUGUGAGGGGUCUAGGUUGUGCACUCCUUAUGAGAAUCUAAUGCCUGACGAUCUGUCACUGUCUCUUAUCACCCCCAGAUGGAACCAUCUACUUGCAGGAAAACAAGCUCACGUCUCUCAGUGAUUCUACAUAAUGCAGCUCGAGGAGAAGGAGGCUUCUAUCUGCAAGUGGGUGGACUCCCUAGCACGUAUCUCCCAGAGUGGGUUACUGCAAUCACCGUUUCCCGAGGAACCUAAGACAAAACUGACCACAUUCAGGAACACACAGAACUCACAUUCUCUGGCACAGGGGUGAGGGAGCUGAUUUGAUUUGUUCUCUGGAAUUCCAGAUGGAAAACCAGGAACAGCGGUGGAAGCUACAGGGAGACAGACUUCAGCUCAAUGUCAGGACAAACUUUUCAGCAGUUGGGUGCACCCGAACAAGCUGCCUUGUGAGGGAGUGAGGACCUCUUUCUGGAAGUGUGUUAGCAGAAGCUGGAGGGCCCUCUUUCUGGGAUGCUGUGAAGGGGUUUCCUGCUUUGGGUGGGAGGGAGAACCAGAUGGUUUUGAGAUUCCUCUGGGAGGCUGCAUUUCUAUGUUUAUGCCCUUUCCUGAGACAGACUUGGAGUAUUUUGGUGCCUCCUGUGCUUUGGGUAUGAAAUUCAAAGAUGAUGCCUGCCCAACUCUUAGUAAGCGCAUAAGGUCCAGAAAAUGCAGAGUCACUGUCUACAGAGAAAACGCCCGCAGUGCUCAGUGUAAUCCAAUCACCCUUUAAAUCUCAUUACCUGACACUUUUGACGCAGUGGCCAAAAUGGCGGAUAAUAUUUAAGAGUGCGUGCCAUUUACUGAUCUAAGUAGCUUUGUACUUAUGAACUAUUUCAAUCUUCCCAACAGCCUCAUGAGGCAUGACUAGCCCCUUUUCCCAGGGCACUACUCUAGCACGAGAGGUUAGAAACACAUGCACGUCUACACACUAGGAAGUAGUGGAAUUAGGACCCAGAACUAGGCAGCUUAGCUCUGGAGCCUGUGCUCUUAGCUGCUGUGGUGAACCGUGUCAGCCUCAAGCCAUGUUCUUUUAUCGACCUGAGCUCACAAGAUGCUUUUCCCCAUGCAAAGAAACACAUACUCCUCUUUUUUCUUGUCAAACUACUCCUGCUUCAAGAUUCAACAUGGGCUUCCCUCUCUCUUCUUCAUGCCCAACUGCGCUUCAACAAAAUCACUUGUAGUGUAUUACUUCUUUGUCUGCCUGUUUCCCCCACCUGCCUGGGGGCGUCUUAAGAGCAGUAGCUGUGCACUUUUGGUGCUGACGUUAGACUGGACAGAAAAUAGACAGCAAGUAAAUGUUUGUUGAAUGAAUAAGCAAACUGAUCUCAAACUGCGUAGACAAUUUCUUCUGUUAUAUGCUUCAAUUGCUUUAAAUGAUUACAGUUUUGGCUUUUGGGGUUUUUGUUUGUUCAUUUGUUUUUUAUAGGGUCUUGCUCUGUCACCCAGGGUGGAGCUCAGUUGUGUGAUCAUAGCUCACUGCAGACUCCAACUCCUAGCUCAAGCAAUCUUCCUACCUCAUCCUUCUGAGAAGCUGUGACUACAGGUGUGCGUCACCACACCUGGCUAAUGUUUUAAGUGUUUUGGAGAAACAAGAUCUCGCUCUGUUUGCCAGGCUGCUAUCAAACUCCUGAUUUCAUGCGAUCCUCCUGCCUUUUCCUCCCAAAGUGCUGGGAUCACAGGGGUGAGCCACUGCAUCCAGCCAAAUACUGACAUUUUUAAAUGAAGACCUGUGGCAGAUGCAGUUUAGGUGUCUGAAAGUCCCUGAAUUCUGAUUGCCUGUGUACAGGUGCACCUUACCGGGAAAAGAUUAUGUCACACGGAUAUCAGUCCAAGUUUUUUGAGAUGCAGAUGCCCAGACAGGAAUAGACAUGCAAAAGAUUUCCUUAAGGAGAUGCCUAGGAUGCGGGUAUGCAAAGGGGGUGAAGGGAGACAGGUAGAACCGUCUGGCAGUGACAGAGAUCUGAUCCAUGUGAAGCAGAAAGGGAAGGAAAGAAGGUUGGGCAGAAAUGUCUGCAUCUGUAGUGCCGUUGAAGGAAAUACUGCAAGGCCCUGAAGGAGUCUUCAAGCAAAGCUGCUGGGUGAGGAAGUCCUGGGUUUCGCAGGAAUGGGCCUGCUGUGUUCAGUCUUUGGCCAAGAGCAUCCUCUGGGACAUGUGGCCUGAGAACUAACAUAGCGGUUGACAGAUUUCAGAGCAUAGCAGCUGGAGCCCUUGGUCAGUGAUGCCCUGGAGCUCUGAGAGGUGGGUCUUCAUGUCCACCCCACCUUAAGUCUCAAAAAGAUCAAUAACUCUCAGAACAGUGAGGAAGCACCGCUGCACCUGUGGGACUGGGCAGUGGCCCUAUGGUUUCAUUGUGACGUUUUCAGGGAGAAAGUAGAUGCCAGCAUCUCCUACAGAUUCCAGAUUUUUAUCCCUUGAGUGAUACCAACUUACUCUAUCACCUUGACCCAGCCACAUUACAACUUCCAACCUCAGCUUCUCCAGUCCAAAUACAAUGUGGAAUGUUGAAGAGAGAGCCAUUGGAUUGCUGCCCAGGACAGAACUGGCUGAGACAUCUAUGUACAGAUGAGAAAACUGCAGCACAGCGGCAUAAGUAACUUGCCCAAGGCCACACUCCUAAUAAGUUGUGGAGCUGGGUUGCAAACUCAGACACUCCAGCUCAAGACCACGCACUUAAGUACGAGGCUCUGCCAAAGGGAAGGAGAAAGUAGAACCAGAAUGUCCCCAAGAGGUGGCCUGGGAAGAUGGUGUCAUCCAGAUGUGGAGAGAAUUUUCCACUCAGCACGUUCAAUGAAAGAAGCUCCUGCUGGAGCCAACAGCACAGGAGACAACGGCAGGGCUGGCCCUGGGCCAGCAGAACCUUGGCCUUCCUCUGCACAGAUUGCAUCUUGAUUGCAGGUCUUCAUCCAGCAGCCACAUGCGAGCUUUAGUGAGACUUUAAACCUUGUCACAUUAUAUUAGUCCAUUCUCAUGCUGCUGUAUAAAGAACUGCCUGAGACUGAGUAAUUUAUAAAGGAAAGAGGUUUAAUUGCCUCACAGUUCCACAUGGCUGAGGAGGCCUCAGGAAACUUACAAUCAUGGCAGAAGGGGAAGCAAACGUGAUGUCAGGAAGGAGAAGUGCUGAGUAAAGCGUGAAAAGCCUCUUAUAAAACCAUCAGAUCUCAUGAGAACUCACUGACUAUCAUGAGAACAGCAGCAUGGGGGUAACCACCCCGUGAUUCAAUUACCUCCCACUGGGUCUCUCCCACGACAUGUGAGGAUUAUGGGAACUACAAUUCAAGAUGAGAUUUGGGUGCGGACGCAGCCAAACCAUAUCACACGUCAUCAGCAAACUUAACAUUUCUCUCUGUGUGUAGGUGUGUGUGUUUAAAGCUAGAAUAAAAAAAAAACAUUUCAAGCUUGUGUUAAGACCAUUUUCAAGAUACAGCCCUGGAGAACGUGGUGGGGUUUCCCCCAUGGGUCCCUAGUUAAAGAGUGCCACAUAAGAUGCCCCAUCAGGCGACGGGGCCCUGCAGGGCCCACACCCUAACCAACAUCAUGGUGUAAGAUCAACAGAUAGAUCUGUUGUUUAACUGCAUCUCCAGGACAUUUCAAGCAGGGUGGAGCUUCCUGGGGGACAGAGAUGAGGGGAAGCAGCCCCACCUUUAUUCAUUCAACAAAUACUUACUGAGCACCUAUUAUGUGCCAGCCAUUGGCAGGUGCUGGGGGAGCAUCAGUGAACUUGUAGUGGAAGAGACAGAAAAUAAAGAGAAAAAUAAAGGGCAGCAUAUAAGAAGAAAACAAAAGCCAGUGAGAGAAGAUAGCAGGAGGCAUGGAGUACCAUCCUCUAGGUGGGAUGGCCCAAGUGGCAUUCAGACAGAGAUUGGAACAGGUCAAGAGCAAGACUAGGGGCUGAGGGAAGGGCCAGCAUGAGGCGUGGAAGCAAGAGGGAUGAAGUGGAAGAAAUAACCAUGGAAAUGGCAGAGGCGGGCUGUGGAGGGGCUUGAGACCUCGGUAGGGACUUGGGUUUUUAACCGACAGCGAUGCUCAGUUAUAGUUUGGGGGUUUUUUCUUAAAUAAUAGACUUUAUUUUUAGAGCUGUUUUAGGUUUACAGAACAAUUGAGCAGAGAGUACAGAGAGUUCUCACCUACUCCUCUCCCCUCACACAGUUUCCACUAAACGUCUUGCACUAGUGUGGUUCAUACGCUAAGAUCGAUGAACCAAUAUUCACACAUUAUUAUUAAUUGAAGUCCUUAGGGGAUAUUGGGGUUCACUCUUUGUGUUGUACAUUCUGCGGGUUCAAAUAAACGCAUAAGUGUCACAUAUCCACCCUGAUGGCAUCAUCUACAAUAGUUUCACUGCGCUAAAAAUCCUGUGCUCCCCUUGCUCACCCCUCCUCCUUCGCCCUGAAACUCUGGCAACCACUGAUGUUUUUACUGUCUAACUUUGCUUUUUCCAGAAUGUCAGAUAGUUGGAAUCAUUCAGUAUAUAGCCUUUUCAGCUUCUUUCACUUGGUAACGUGCAUUUACAUUUCUUCCAUGUCUUUUCAUGGUUUGAUAGCUAAUUUCUCUUGAUUGCUCAAUAAUAUUCCACUGUAUGGCUGAACUCCAGUUUGUUCAUCCAUUCCCCUAUUGAGGGACAUCUCAGCUGCUUUCAGUUUUUGGCAAUGAUGAGUAAACAUUCGUGUGCAGGUUUUUGCUUGGACAUUUGUUUCCAGUUUAUGUGGAUACAAGCUCAGGUGCACGCUGGCUGAAUCAUAAGGUAAGACCAUGUCUAGCUUUGUAAGAAAUUGCCAAACUGUCCUCCAGAGGAGUGAUGGAUCUGAUCUGGGGGUUAGAAGAUUCAUUUGACUGCUGGUGGAGAAAAGAGACCAAGCAGGCCAAGCUGUAACCCUGUGGGCUAGUGCAAAGUGGGUGCAGCCUCUGCAGGCAGGAGCUGGCAGGAGCCAAAUGACUGGGGACACAGCAGAGGGUGUGGUGGAAAAGCACUGAGUUUGAGGCUCAAAUCUGUUUCACAUAUGGCCUAUCCAUAAACAACCAUAUUUGUACAUAGGUGCUGCAUUUUUAAAAGGUUCUUGAAAACCCCCACCCUGAUGAGCUUUGGGGUGACUUCCAGCUCUGUGAUUAGAAAAGGCUUCGUUCAAACAGCAAGCAAAAGGUUCAAAAAGCUCCUUUUUCUUUGCAUAGUUCAAGAAGAUGGUUUGUAUCGUAUCUAAACCUAACAAUUUAGCAGGAUUUUCCUUUGUAGUAAUUAUGUGAUGAUCAAUGUCUCUGUCUUUCCUAGGGGGAAAACCUACUAAAUAUAUGUUCUAUCUAAAAUUGUUGUUUUUAUUGUUAUAAACCAGGACAAGUGAGGUGCUGUUUCAUAUUUAGCAACAUAUAAUUUACCUCUUGUACAUCUUCCUUUAAACUUAUGGUUACCUUGUCUCAAGGUAAAGAGCGGCAAACAAUGAAUUAUUGUCAUUAUCUUAUAAUCAAGUACAGAGCCGCCAACAAUGGAUGUCAUUAUGUUCUAAUGGGGAAAUAACCAGCCAAUUCUACAGUGGUCAUUACGGCAGCAAAAAUUAAUAAUGUUCUGACUUUUUUUUUCUCCCCUUUUUUAUUUUCAACACCAAUUAAAACUGUUUUCAAGUGUUUCUUCCUACAUUGUCUGAAUCCCAGUUAGCAAAAUGAUUGUUUAGCAAAUGUGAUCUGGCAGCAGAAACCGAGGGAUUCUGUUCCUUUAAUUGUGAGCCAGUUAAAGGGAAGAAGAGUCUUUCUAUUUUCUGGGGCAAUGUGUACUUACCUGGGAGAGGAGGAGCAGCGAG
rnacentral:lncRNA from 10 species